rnacentral:tRNA from 1 species
GCCUGGCUGGCUCAGUUGUUAGAGCAUGUGACUCUUGAUCUCAGGGCUGGGAGUAUGAACCUCACGUUGGGUG